rnacentral:rRNA from 1 species
CAAUAGCGUAUAUUAAAGUUGUUGCAGUUAAAAAGCUCGUAGUUGGAUUUGUGGCGUACGGUGUGUUCCGGGCACUUGUUGUCUGAGUAACCUGCUGUUGCCAUCCUUGGGUGGAACCUGUGUGGCAUUAGGUUGUCGUGCAGGGGAUGCCUAUCAUUUACUGUGAAAAAAUUAGAGUGUUCAAAGCAGGCUUAUGCCGUUGAAUAUAUUAGCAUGGAAUAAUGAGAUAGGACUUUUUUGCUAUUUUGUUGGUUUGCGCAAAGAGGUAAUGAUUAAUAGGGACAGUUGGGGGUAUUCGUAUUCCAUUGUCAGAGGUGAAAUUCUUGGAUUUUUGGAAGACGAACUACUGCGAAAGCAUUUACCAAGGAUGUUUUCAUUAA